GACGAACGCUGGCGGCGUGCUUAACACGUGCAAGUCGAACGGAAAGGCCCUGCUUUUGUGGGGUGCUCGAGUGGCGAACGGGUGAGUAACACGUGAGUAACCUGCCCUUGACUUUGGGAUAACUUCAGGAAACUGGGGCUAAUACCGGAUAGGAGCUCCUGCUGCAUGGUGGGGGUUGGAAAGUUUCGGCGGUUGGGGAUGGACUCGCGGCUUAUCAGCUUGUUGGUGGGGUAGUGGCUUACCAAGGCUUUGACGGGUAGCCGGCCUGAGAGGGUGACCGGCCACAUUGGGACUGAGAUACGGCCCAGACUCCUACGGGAGGCAGCAGUAGGGAAUAUUGCACAAUGGGCGGAAGCCUGAUGCAGCAACGCCGCGUGCGGGAUGACGGCCUUCGGGUUGUAAACCGCUUUCGCCUGUGACGAAGCGUGAGUGACGGUAAUGGGUAAAGAAGCACCGGCUAACUACGUG
rnacentral:rRNA from 1 species